ensembl:lncRNA
UGUCUUAUGUUUUAGCUGUCUGGUGUUCAUUAAUCAGUUUAUUUUAUUUUAUCACCAGUCGGCAAAGCCAAUGUUGCUGAGAAGAAAUCCUACAUCAUAGGGAUCCAGAAAAACAUCAGGAAGCUUGAGGAGGAAUCUCAUCAUAAGCAGAACAUUGUGAAGCAUCUCAAAGGCAAUACGAAAAGUCUAAAGGGAACUAACGGCCUCCUGCUGCAGUAUGAGAAGACGCUGCAGGCUGAAUUGGAGAGGAGACGAGACAACUGUAAUCAAGACAUGUCAAACAUUGUCCAUCGAAAAUCCAUUGGAAAGCAUCUCUGGUCUAUUGACGGCAGCAGAGUCUCACAGACAGUCAUCGGCUCAGACUGAGGAUGACCAUCAGUCUCCACUAGACAUCUCCUCCCUCCAUGUUUCCCAGGAUGGCCAUGAGAAACACGGAGAGGGAAUUGAAGAGCAUCUAGAGAAGACCGUUGCUCACCCUCCAUCACAAGGAGACACACACUGUGACCUGUGGUCAUACCCAGAGGCAAUGGAUGGAAUACACGCUUCAGACCAGGAGGAGGGAAGUUUACUAGAGGAACAGAAGGAGUGUCUGAACACCUCCAGUACAGUGGGGAUGGAGGAGGUGAAGGAGAGGGGGACUGAGGGAGGAGACGAACAGCCUACACCCCUCAUUACUGAGGCGGAGGAGGAUGAAGGGAUGGGAGCAGCAUUCUCUCCUCAGACUCCUAAUAGAAUGAAAGCUGUGUCCAGCACCCCAACCUUCUCCCUGAACAGGAGCCACAGUGGGUCACCUAGUCAGCUAGACGGAUCCACAGUAAAAUCCCCAGGCUUCCUGUUCUCCAUGAGCUCAGCUCCUAGCCCCACCACCCCUGACUUCUCUGGCUUCCACUGUGGCUUUGAACUGGGCUCAGGCCAGGAGGAAGAGCCUCCUUUCCCCUUCAGCAGCUCAUAUUUCAGCAGUGAAAAGAAACCGUCAGGAUCCAGAUCGCCAUCAGGCUUCCUGUUUGCCCGGCCAGAGUCGGAGAAGUCAGAAGAUGGAUUUGAGUUCCCCUUCAGCUCUAAGAGUCCUGGUCAACCGUCAACCAGCAGAGAGAAGGGAUCAGGGGCUGGGGACUCCUUCCCUUUCUCCUUUAACUUCUAGCACAUCUUACUGUAAAACUUCAUGUAUGCUUCAAAUGGCACCCUAUUCCUUAUAUAGUGCACUACUUUUGCCCAGGGCCAUGUAGUGUUCUAGGGCAAUAGGGCGCCAUUUGGAUGCAUCCUGAGAUUCUUCCUCGUUACUGUACAUGAGUUCCAUUUCAUGUUUGGUUAUUUCUAGAAAUAUGCAGAGGACUUCAACACAACUCUUUGUUGUUGUUAUGCACUGUAGAUCUGUUUUAGCGGUUGUUAAUAUUUACUCUAGUAAUUAGUUGAAUCAACUGUUGUAUGAAAAUUACUACCUUAUAAGAUAAAGUACCAUCUAGACUUAAACUUCGCUGUUUGUUCAUAAGUCAUUUAUAAUUAUUUAAAACUUAAUUGUAUUAAUAUUUAACUAAAUAAAAUCAGAUAAAAACAUACAUUUGUGUCAAGUUGGCUGGAUGUCCUUUGGGUGGUGGACCAUUCUUGAUACACACAGGAAACUGUUGAGCGUGAAAAACACAGCAGCUUUGCAGUUCUUGACACAAACCGGUGCACCUGGCACUUACUACCAUACCCUGUUAAAAAGGCACUUAAAUCUUUUGUCUUGCCCAUUCACUCUCUGAAUGUCACACAUACACAAUCCAUGUCUUAAUUGUCUCAAGGCUUAAAAAUCCUUCUUUAACCUGUCUCCUCCCCUUCAUCUACACUUAUUGAAGUGGAUUUAACAAGUGACAUCAACAAGGGAGCAUAGCUUUCACCUGAAUUCAGGUGGGACCUAACGAUGGAAUAUUAUCACAAUAC